rnacentral:rRNA from 1 species
GGGCCCGCACAAGCGGUGGAGCAUGUGGUUUAAUUCGAUGAUACGCGAGCACUUACCAGGGCUUAAUGGGAAAUGACAGGGGCAGAGACGCCCCCUUCUUCGGACAUUUUUCAAGGUGCUGCAUGGUUGUCGUCAGCUCGUGCCGUGAGGUGUCAGGUUAAGUCCUAUAACGAGCGCAACCCCUACCGUUAGUUGCCAGCGUGUAAUGACGGGGACUCUAACGGAACUGCCGGUGCAAACCGUGAGGAAGGUGGGGACGACGUCAAAUCAUCACGGCCCUUACGUCCUGGCCACACACGUGCUACAAUGGUAGGUACAGAGAGCAGCCAGCUACAGCCGAAGUACGGA